AACGAACGCUGGCGGCAGGCCUAACACAUGCAAGUCGAGCGGACCCUUCGGGGUUAGCGGCGGACGGGUGAGUAACGCGUGGGAAUAUGCCCUUCUCUACGGAAUAGUCCUGGGAAACUGGGGGUAAUACCGUAUACGCCCUUUGGGGGAAAGAUUUAUCGGGGAAGGAUUAGCCCGCGUUGGAUUAGGUAGUUGGUGGGGUAAUGGCCUACCAAGCCGACGAUCCAUAGCUGGGUUGAGAGGAUGAUCAGCCACACUGGGACUGAGACACGGCCCAGACUCCUACGGGAGGCAGCAGUGGGGAAUCUUAGACAAUGGGGGCAACCCUGAUCGAGCCAUGCCGCGUGAGUGAUGAAGGCCUUAGGGUUGUAAAGCUCUUUCAGCUGGGAAGAUAAUGACGGUACCAGCAGAAGAAGCCCCGGCUAACUCCGUG
rnacentral:rRNA from 1 species